rnacentral:tRNA from 1 species
GCCCGGGGUCGCACCGCUCAAGACAGGCGCCUUCUAAGCGCUUGGCCGCAGGUUCGAGUCCUGCCGGGGGCACCA